GCCACAACGACCCACCUAGCCCACCUUCUUCCUAUCCUCUCUCUUUCUCUCGCUCUCUUUCUUUUCCUCUCGCUCUCCCCCGUGCCGCCGCCCGCCGCAUCCUCAGGUCUCACUGCCAUCGCCGCCGCUCCACCUCACACGCCGGCCGCUGCUCCCUGCCUCCGGCGGCCGCCCCGCAGCCGCUGCCGGCCUGAAUCGGUUUCAUGGCUCCUCAUGAGCCUGCCCCCAAGCUAACCCUCUCCAAUCGAUGCUGCUGCCCAACGACGAAGACACCCGCCUAGAGUUCCAGAUUGGGAUUUUCCCCAGCUUCAGCACCCCUUGAGCCAAGCAUGGCUUGUCUCCCCCGAGUUCCUCCUUUCUGAUCAUCCCCUUUUCUCCCUACUUCUGUGAUGUGAUUUGAUUGGUACUCUCUUGUGUGAUAGCAUGCUCUGAAUUGUGAUGCUUGUGAACUAAUCCUAGCGACCAACUUGAUGAUGCUAUAAUCAGGAUUGUACUUACUGUUUCUAGGGUUCUAGAUAAAUUGGCUUGCUAGGGUUGGACGAAUAAAUUUCUGUAUGCCAUGAGUGAAUGAAUGAAUGCUGAUGCAAGUGCAGUACUGGAAUUAGAAAAGCUAAUGAAAAUCACACUAACAUAAUUAAGUCCUUGUAUAUGCUUGCAUGAUGAAAUAACUGAAUUUGGCACAACAGCAGGAUCAUAUUCUAGAAUAAAUCUUAUUGAAUGAUGCAGUAAUUUACAUGGUACUAUACUUUGAAAAUCAUGCCAAGAUAUGUACUAUAGAGAAUGGAACACCUUGAAUACAGAUAGAUGGUAACUGAUUUCUUUGGAUGAUUUACUGCUACUGACUGUAUGUCAUGACUAUAAUUUACUAGAUUAGAGUUGUUGAUGCAGGGAAAAAAAUAAACUAUUGAUUAACUAACUAUUUACUGUGGUUUUAUUCUGAGAGUAUGAUUUUAAACAUUCGUUCUGCUACACAAAUGAUUUGGUAGAAAAAAAAAACUUAUAUGUUCUGUUAAGUUAUUGAAAUUUAGUAGAACUACGACUAUUUAUCACUAUAUGCAUACUUAGAUGUACUUCUAUUGUCUCUUUUCUGUGUUUCGUAGUAAAGAACUAGAUACAUAUGCAAACUUAACCCAGAUUCAUAACCAACUGGUUUCGCAUGCUAUUCUACAAUUCAAAUGAUUAAUAAUUUAUGAUGGUUCCUCUAUUAAGUCUGGGUUGAUUUUCAAUACUUUUAAAUGAAAUCAGAUUAAUAUACACAUACCCUAACCUUUCCAAGAAUAUGCACAGCUUAGAUUUUACUUUGUUUGUAUGACCAAAAUCUGAAAGUUCUAUAUUUUUUUUUUAAGUGCACAUGCAUGAUCAACUAUCUGAAUAAAAUUCAUGUCUUUCUUUACUAAUUUCCCGUUCCUGGUUAUAUAAGCAGUUACAUUGUGAGUUUUUGACUGUGUACAUAGGCAUAGGUAGCUUAGUUUCAGCUACAGAGAUUGAGCAGAUUACAUUCUAUUGCUGUCUCAAAAGGUUUCUGAUGGACAUUAUGGUGUUACAACUAUCUUAAUUUCCAAGUUCUUAACGUAUGGGGCAAACUGAAAAGUGAUCUGUGCUCAUGCCAGAUCCUAACAGGGGACAAAUGAAGUGCAGUGUUAAAGUUGCAAUGGCAUUUCAAAAAAAAAAAAAAAAACAUUCAUCUUUGAUUUCUUGACUGGGGCUCAUGUCGUGGCCACCUCCAUCCUCCUGGUUGCCAACCGCUGAGGAGGCGCGGUGCAGCCCACCGCUUCCAUCUGAGAUUGUUGCGUGGGCGACUGGAAGCGGCCAGAGGUUGAGUUCCUGCUGGACAACUGUGGGCGAAGAGGCAAAAUGGCUGACGAAGGCCAGCGGUGGCUGGAGAUUGAUGAUGAAGCAGCAGUCUGUGGAAUUCCUCUUCUCCAUAGCCACUUAGCCCCUCCUUUCAAGAUAACUUCUGUAUGUUUGAUGCCCCUCUAAUAAUAGCUUAGGAUUUUUUGAGAUAUCGAUAGCUACAACCAGUGCUCGUUCCAUCAUUCAAUGACCUGUAACAAUUUCAAAAUAACUAUGUUGGGCACCAGAUGAACCCAGGCAGAGGUUCUUUGGAUGGGUUUUUGUACACCACAAGGGUCUAUCUGCAGAAAAUUUAACAAAAAUAAACUGGCCGUGCAUCUUACUAUGUUCGCUAUGCAAUGGAGUUUAUGGGGGAAAGUUCAGUUGCUUUUUGUUCCAUGUAAUAUCCUCGAAUUGUAUUCCGAAACCAACUUCUUAAUAUAAUGGGCAGAGCUCCAACCUUUACUUCAGAAAAAGAGAAAAGGUCACCUUCUCCUAACUUACUCGCUUUGUUGUUUUUUCCAUUCACAUGCGUUUGCAGCUUGGCAACUAGAGGAGCUGACUUCUGGAUUGAUCUCCUCUCUUAUUUUCCAACAAUGAGCAUUUGUUGCAGGUAAUGAGCUUGUACAGCAAAAAAGGAUCAAAUUUGAAACCAUCUGUUACAGCUUAUAUGUGUUUACAUUGAAUUAGCAAGUACAAUAAAGAAGGCUCAAAUUUCCCUUUUAUUACAGUUAAUGAGCUUGUUAAAGUCUGUCUAUAUAUUAAGGAAGAAAAUUAAUGCUGACAAAUUAGUUGUCAAAAUUUGGAAGGCAAAAUGUGGUUUUUUGAGCCAAGUAAAAUUCUUGGAGUUGAACUAUCCUAUCAGAUCACAAUUGCGUGAUUAAAAUGGAAGUCCUUUUACUUGAUAUUGAUCAAUAGGUUUUAAGAUGAAUCUUUGAUGGCCGGCUUAGUCACCUGUUGCUUUCUCCAUUUUCUAUAUUUUAUUUUUAAUGUAAAGCUUUAUACAAUAUAAGAUAGUUUCUCGCAAGCACUCUUGGUUGGUGCAUAAGCCUAAUGUUUUUGUCAUAUAUGGAAUGGAUUGGUCUUAUCUAUUAUAUCUUUAAUAACAAAUUUUAAGAUAUAAGCUUUUUGUGACUUCUGGUAUUUUUGUAAUCACCACCGCAUUGUUCAAUACAAGACAGCCUACUAUUCAUUUUAUUGCCAUAUCUUGAUUUAUUAAUCCUUGUUUUUGUACUACCAAGUGCAAUUGGUACUGUAUGCUGUUUUACCCCCAGGUUGCUUCGUACAUUGCUGUAGUAUGUGAAGGUGUGGAAAAUGAGCUUCUUGGAAACCAAAUUUCAUUAAUAGACCUCACUUAGGAUCAGGGAAGAGGAGCUGUCAAGUGCCUAGAUUAUUUUUCUUACAAGAUAUAUACUGUAGUAAUCACAUAAAACUGUUGAUGGUCUUAAAUUCCAUUGUGGAUGACUGAUUGCCUGAAGUAUUCAAGUUUCAUAGGUACAACUAAUAUUCAAGUUUUAUCUGUGCUAAUCCCACUGUCGAUAUCGUUCAACCGCCGUUGUCUGCACUCUGCACUCUGCAGCACUGUGACUGCCGUCGUUUGCAGGCAACAGUUGAAGAUGCCACUAAUCUGUAUGGAUGGCCCCCUUGCAUUGACACUCUACUAUGUGUCUGUAAUUUUGCUUCUGUUGCUUAUGACCCCAACAGAAUUUGAUGAUUCAGAUUUGAUGUACACCAAUAAAGAAUGUAAGCAAAUAUAAGAGAAGAGAAACGAUGAUGUUCUUAGUGACAGAUUAAAGGCGGGCUUGAUCCUCUUGAUAGUGAGAGCUACUUCCUUGUUUUUC